rnacentral:lncRNA from 1 species
AUAUAUGGACUUUUGCACUAUACAAGCAACUGCUGCCACAUAAAAAACAGAAAAUAAUAAUAAUUGUUUUGGAUUGGACAGUAGCUGUCGCUGUGUGACAGCAUAGAAGUGCGCAGUGCGCCACCAUGCGUAACACACUUGCGAUUGAAAUUGUACCAAAACCAGAAAGGAGGUGUAGUGGAUUAAAUUUCUUUUAAAACUGGACCACAAAUGUCAUGUACAUUUCUCCAUCUGGGUCGGUGCCUCACUAGGUCGUGCAAAAAGAGGGCACCCACCGGCGAACCGUUAAAAUAAGAGAAACCCAGCUGUGCUAAUAACAAUCACUCUAAUUAUAAGCAUUCAAAUGCUAAUAAGUGAAUAUCUAAUGGUGAAAAAAAAAAAUUAGACAUAUAUCGUGCUGAAAAUACAAUGAAAUGUUCAUGAUACUAAACAAAUAAUUAAAUGUAUUUUUUUGUUAUUAUUAUUAAGAGGAGGGAAAACUUUGAACCAGGGAUGCAUGUGUGCAAUUCCAAUAUUCUAUCUACUAUGAUAUCGGAUCGCAUUCUAAAUAAUUUUUUAUUUGGAAAAGAAUUGUAUAGAUGAUCUUUAAAUAAAUAUGUAAAAUAAAAAAUUUGGAGUUAGGGGUCGCCUAGUGUAUAGAAUAUUCCUCUUCAAUCUACUACGUCCCAAACUCAAACUUUACCCUUAAAUAAAAAUAGUAGCCACUCAUUACUAUGGUCUAGUGGUAUUUCUGAUUACUUGUAAGUGAGAGGUCUUAGGUUUAAUUAUCGCGCAAAUGUGAAUUUGAACCACAUUAUUGCUUGCUCAUUAUGAGACUUAGUCCACUCUCUUACAUAUUUAAUGUAGAUAAUAUCGUUUGUUAUAAAAAUAAAAAUAAAGUAGCAAAAUUGAAGUGUUUGAAAAUUGAAGUUUUGUAUAAUGAACUCAAAUUAUGUAUUAACGCUGUAUUAAAUUACUAAAAGAUUAGAGAUUAAACACUGAUAACCAUUGACAAAUAUAUUUCCUAUUUUUAUCAUAGACCAUAGUGCUUAGUGCAGCAAAAAAUACAAAGAUAUCAUCGGAAAAAUAGAAAAUAGAUUAGAAUUGCAGGACCAACCAAUUAAGUUUGAUAACGUGUCAAGAUGCAAUUGGUGGAACGUCAAAUCUCUGACCACCACAGGUUUUGGACGGGGUCGGCAUCUCAUCAUCCUGCUCGUUGCCAAUGAGUCAGCCUCACCUACGCCCGCGAAUAGUCCAAUAUGUAAUAAAUUUGUUAGAU